UACGAACGCUGGCGGCGUGCUUAACACAUGCAAGUCGAACGGAAAGGCCCUGCUUUUGUGGGGUGCUCGAGUGGCGAACGGGUGAGUAACACGUGAGUAACCUGCCCUUGACUUUGGGAUAACUUCAGGAAACUGGGGCUAAUACCGGAUAGGAGCUCCUGCUGCAUGGUGGGGGUUGGAAAGUUUCGGCGGUUGGGGAUGGACUCGCGGCUUAUCAGCUUGUUGGUGGGGUAGUGGCUUACCAAGGCUUUGACGGGUAGCCGGCCUGAGAGGGUGACCGGCCACAUUGGGACUGAGAUACGGCCCAGACUGCUACGGGAGGCAGCAGUGGGGAAUAUUGCACAAUGGGCGGAAGCCUGAUGCAGCAACGCCGCGUGCGGGAUGACGGCCUUCGGGUUGUAAACCGCUUUCGCCUGUGACGAAGCGUGAGUGACGGUAAUGGGUAAAGAAGCACCGGCUAACUACGUG
rnacentral:rRNA from 1 species